rnacentral:rRNA from 1 species
UACUCCUACGGGAGGCAGCAGUAGGGAAUCUUCGGCAAUGGACGGAAGUCUGACCGAGCAACGCCGCGUGAGUGAAGAAGGUUUUCGGAUCGUAAAGCUCUGUUGUAAGAGAAGAACGAGCGUGAGAGUGGAAAGUUCACACUGUGACGGUAUCUUACCAGAAAGGGACGGCUAACUACGUGCCAGCAGCCGCGGUAAUACGUAGGUCCCGAGCGUUGUCCGGAUUUAUUGGGCGUAAAGCGAGCGCAGGCGGUUAGAUAAGUCUGAAGUUAAAGGCUGUGGCUUAACCAUAGUACGCUUUGGAAACUGUUUAACUUGAGUGCAAGAGGGGAGAGUGGAAUUCCAUGUGUAGCGGUGAAAUGCGUAGAUAUAUGGAGGGACACCGGUGGCGAAAGCGGCUCUCUGGCUUGUAACUGACGCUGAGGCUCGAAAGCGUGGGGAGCAAACAGGAUUAGAUACCCUGGUAGUCCACGCCGUAAACGAUGAGUGCUAGGUGUUAGACCCUUUCCGGGGUUUAGUGCCGUAGCUAACGCAUUAAGCACUCCGCCUGGGGAGUACGACCGCAAGGUUGAAACUCAAAGGAAUUGACGGA